AUUUAGUCGCCCCUGUUGUGUCUGACUGUAGUAGUGUUGUCCCAACUUGGGUUCCAAUUAAAAGGCACUUUGGCAUAUGCUAGGUUAAGCAUAUGCAAACAAUUAUAUAAAAAGGUACAUGGUAGUGCUCCUGUCCAUGGCUUAGGUGUGAUCGGUCUCAUUUCUUCUAGAACAAAGAUAAAAAAUGUGUCGAUGUAUGCGAAGUGGUGUAAGAUCCUGUUUGGUAGAGCUCCGACUCGAGCGAAAACAACAGCUUCGGUUGUAUAUAUAGUUUCACCUGCAGAGCAGAUUCACUUGAAGAGCUAAAGCUGUUUUUAGACCGUUUGAUAAAACAGCUCCUUAUUCUAAUGAAAAGAUAUGAAAGGUCUAAAAUACACUUUUUUCUUUUUUUCUCUCCUUCUAUUUUUCUUUAUUUAUUUUUUCUCUCUCUACACCACCGCACCAUCUCACCGCACACAGAUAUCUCUGUUACAAGUGGAAUGCCAAAGUACGAGAACAGAGAGGAAUAGAAUGAACUCGGGGUGUUUCUUUAUUCAUUGAUCACGGGUAUUUAUACAAGUCGGGGGGGAGAGGAAACUCUCGCCCCAAGUAAACUCGAGCCCACGAUGAGUCGUGGGUGAUAUCACGGAGGUGGAACCGGUCUCCACGGGUACGUGCGUAGUCGUGGGUGAUAUCCCGUAGGCGGUCGUGGGGGACGUCGUAGUUAGGAUAGAUCUCCCGUAAGAGGAUCCGAGGAGAUGAGAUCACCCCAGAUAAAAUAUCCGUAACACUCCCCCUUGAUCGAAUCACUUGUUGAGAUCAAUGAAUCAUAUUGCUCCUCCAAAAAUUCCUGUAGGAUAAAAACGAGGAAAAAUACGUGUGUAUAUGUGCUAUAGUAAAACUCCUUAAAACCGCUUGGGAAAAGAAGGAGAAAGUUAUAGCACUUAAUGAUUGCCUCAUUGUAAACUAAUAUGAGAAAACCUUUGCAGGAGAAAAACUCAUGUUGUAGUUUAGAGGACAAUAUGUGUCUUUGAUACCCCUUUAAAAACCCCUGUGGGGAAAACAAGGAAUACGACACUCUUGUGUUAAUAUUAUCUCAUUAAAAACUCCUUAUGAGAAACCUUGUGAGGAAAAACUCAUAGAGAGAAAAGAGUAUAAUAUGAUGGUGUAGACAGGCCAAUGUCUAGGAGAUUUCUCCUCCUGAACUUUGCAAAUCUCUAAGUCGUCGCAUACCAAUUCCUUUGACACAUUUUUCAAAUGAGGAAGCUGGUAGGGACUUAGUGAAUAGAUUAGUGAGAUUGUCGCAUGAUUUGGUUUUCAAGAUAUCAAUCUCUUCUUUUUGUUGUAAUUCAUGAGGAUAGAACAACUUUGGAGAGAUGUGUUUGUUGAUAUUGCUCUUGAUAUAGCCUGUCUCCAUCUGUGUAACACAAGCAGCAUUAUCUUCAUAGAUAAUGGUUGGAGCUAUGAUAGCUUUAAGACCACACGACUGCUGUAUGUGGUUGAUCAUUCUGCGAAGCCAAACGCAUUCACGUGAGGCCUCAUAUAGUGCGACUAUUUCAGAAUGAUUCGUGGACGUUGUUGUCAAGGUUUGCUUGGAUGAUGUCCAUGAUAUGGCGGUUCCGUUUUGUAAGAAUAUGAAACCGGUUUGUGAUCUGCCAUUAUGGGGGUCUGAUUGAUAUCCAGCAUCGGUGUAUCCUAUCAUCUCAGAAUUUGUUCCUCUUUGGAAGAAUAAUCCGAGAUCCCUUGUGCCAUUAACAUAUCUGAGGAUCUGUUUUACUCCUGUCCAAUGUCUCUUGGUAGGAGCGGCACUGUGCCUUGCUAGCAAAUUCACUGCGAAAGCGAUGUCAGGCCUGGUGCUAUUGGCAAGGUACAUCAGUGCUCCAACGGCACUAAGGUAUGGGACAUGAGGUCCUAGGAUUUCCUCCCCCUCAUCUUGUGGUCUGAAUGGAUCAGUGUUUAGUCCCAAAGACCGAACAACCAUAGGGGUUUUGGAAGGAUAUGCUUUGUCCAUAUUGAAUCUCUCCAAUACUUUUUGGACAUAUGCAGAUUGAUGCACAAAGAUUCCAGUUGAAAGAUGCUCAAGCUGUAGGACUAAGCAGAAUUUGGUUUUACCCAAAUCCUUCAACUCGAACUCCGUCUUAAGAUGUUUGCAUGCCUCAUCAAUAUCUUGUUUGUGGCCGAUGAUAUUUAAAUCAUCAACAUACACCGAUAUGAUGCAGAAUCCCGUUUGGGAUUUCUUGAUGAAGACACAUGGGCAAUCAUCACUGUUGGAGUAGCCCUUCUGCAGAAGGUACUCGCUGAGUCGGUUAUACCACAUUCUUCCCGACUGCUUUAAGCCAUAGAGUGAUUUCUGUAGCUUUACACAAUACAUGUUGCGAUUUGCGUUUUGAUUCGGUAUUGGGAUUCCGUCAGGAACCUUCAUGUAUAUGUCCGAAUCGAGUGACCCAUGGAGAUAUGCAGUCACUACGUCCAUCAACUGCAUAGAUAGACGAUUUUGUACAGCCAGAGAGAUUAAGUAUCGGAAUGUUAUUCCACCCAUGACUGGAGAGUAUGUUUCAUUGAAGUCAAUGCCGGGUCUCUGCGUGAACCCUUGUGCUACAAGCCUCGCUUUGUGUCUCACCACCUCAUUGUUCUCGUUCCGCUUUCGGACGAAAACCUACUUGAAUCCCACAGGGAAUACUUGUGGAGGUGUAGGUAUUACUUGUGAGAAUACCUGUCUUUUUGUGAGCGAGGAUAUUUCUGCUUGGAUUGCAUCCUUCCAUUGGUUCCAGUCCGAGCGCGUUUUGCACUCUGCCAUGGUCUUAGGAUCUGGAUCAUUUUCAAGGAUUUCGGCAAUCAUUGCGGAGAAAUAUGAGUCGACAAUUGUAGUCUUUCUAUCAAAUGACUCCCCAGUUUCUGCAUAGUUGAUGGAAAUUUCAUGGACCCUUUCCGAUGCAUUAUCAUUUCCCAAGAUGGUCGCAUCAGGGUAUUCCGAUGUCCCAGCAUCAGUAAUUGAGUGCACUGUUGAUGUGGGAUGUGAAGGUUGAACCUCCACUGGGUGUUUCUCAACAUGAGGUUGAGCUGCAUUUACUAGAUCAGAAGAUUUUGUCUUCCGUUUCCUUUGCUUGCUAGAAGCUGUAUCCGUGGAGAUAGCCGUACUUCUCCCCCCUCUUACUAGGGAGUUGAGUAGUUUUGUUUGGUACCUCUACUCUUUCCGGUACAUUUCUCGCUGGAUUAUAGGAUUUUGUAACACCCUUAUAAUCAGUAAAUGUGUCUGGCACGUUGUUUGCAAUGUGUUGCAAAUUUAUGAUUUUCUGAACUUGAAGUUCAGAUUCUGAAGUACGUGGAUCUGAGUUUGGUAUGUCUGGAGCAUCCCAAUUGAUUUCCUGGCAUUGUUUGUGAUGUGGUAAGUCUCCCCCUAAUGCCGGAAAAUGAUCUUCAUUGAAGAUACAAUCAGCGUACCGGGCCGUAAAGAGGUCCCCUGUGGUGGGCUCUAGAUACUUUAUGAUCGACGGAGAUUUGUAUCCCACAUAGAUCCCCAAUUUUCUAUGGGGCCCAUUGUUGUACACUUCGGUGGUGAGAUCGGUACGUAUGUAGCGCAACCGAACUUUCACAGAUGGGAAAUGCUUGGGGGAUUUCCAUGUACUAGUUGCAACGGGGACGUUGCAUGGUAUGCAGUUGGUCGCAAUUGAAUCAGUUCAGCAGCGUGUAAGACUGCAUGACCCCAACAUGAGGUUGGUAGAUUGCAAUUCUGCAAUAGCGGUCUAGCAAUGAGCUUGAUUCUCUUGAUGAGAGACUCGGCUAACCCAUUUUGUGUGUGGACAUAUGGGACAGAAUGUUGUACUUGUAUUCCUAAGGCCAUACAAUAGUCAUUGAAGGCUCGAGAGGAAAAUUCAGCAGCGUUAUCCAUCCUAAUGGAUUUUAUUAGAUGUUCAGGAUGUUGCGCUUUGAGUUUGAUAACUUGCGCAAUUAUUUUGGCAAAAGCAUGGUUUCGUGUCGAUAGCAGAGACAUAUGAGACCAUCGUGUGGAUGCGUCUAUUAGAACCAUGAAGUACCUGAACGGUCCCGAUAAAGGAUUUAUCGGGCCACAUAUGUCCCCUUGAAUGCGUUCAAGGAAGUUGAGUGGUUCAACUUUGAUUUUGAGGAAAGAGGGCCUCAAAAUUAAUUUCCCUGUUGCACAUGCAGUGCAAGUAUAAUCUGAGGAUUGGAGAAAUUUUGCAUUGGUUAGCGAGUGACCAACAGAAUUGCUAGUAAUUUUUCUCAACAUCCCUAUGCCAGGGUGACCAAGGCGAUCAUGCCAAGUUUGGAAUGCAUUGACAUUCUGAAAAAUUACUUUGUACGCAACAUGUUGUACGGGUUUUAUGUAUGAAUAGUACAAUCCAGACGAAGUUGAGGGAAUUCUUUCGAGAGUAUCUCUGCCAUAUCCGUUAUCCUUUGUAAUGAGGAGGAACUCCUCAUUAUUUUGGUGAUGGGUUUCGAUAUGAUACCCAUUUUUGCGGAUAUCUCUAUAACUCAAUAAGGUACGAGUUGAAUCAGGAUACAAAAGUGCAUCCUCGAUUGUAAUUGUUGUACCCAUAGGGAGCGUAAUAAUGGCUCUUCCAGAGCCUGCUAUUACGGCAUCGCGUCCAGCGAUUGUUAAAACAUUUCCUUUGCUCUUUGUGAGAGUUUGGAAAUAUUUUAUUUCCCUGAGUAUAGAGUUAGUGGUGCCACUGUCCACUAGGCACAUUCCUCAUCCAUCGGAUUGACUCCCGUACAAUCUAUGAAAAAUAGAGAAUAUAAAAGAGAAUGAAAUUCUCAACAUGAAUAUAUAUGAAAUAUAAACAUUUAUUGAUGUUGAAUUGUGCAUAAGUCAAUGAACAUCAAACAGAGUGCAGCAAAAACAAAUUGUCAAUUAUUACAAUCCCGAAGGCGAAUGAUGAAAUUAAAAUCUCAAAUGACUAUCAAUCUAGUUGUAGUCGCCGAACAGAUCAUCAGAAUUGUAUUCGAUGAUCAUGUUGUUGGUGGAGUCAUUUGCCAUGCCAUCAGGUGGAAGAGGCGCCAUUGUGUUGCUCGGUCCCGCUGGGGCGGGGUUGGAACAUCCUGGGGCUGCCAGAUCGUUGAAGUGUGCUUCAGACGGUUGUCCACCUUGGUUGGAGCGUCCUUGGUUGGAGCGUCCUCGUCCCACGGAAUGCAAGUACAGUUCCACAAGUUGCUUAGGGGUGCGACAUUUCUUAGUCGGGUGGUUGUAGCAACCACACUUUGUACAAGUUGAGUACUUGUAUUUUGACUUAGAGUUGUUGCCUUUGCCCUUAGCACCUCGAGGCUUACGGGGUCCCUUGCGCUUGUUUUUGCCUUUGGAGGAUCUAGGAUUGCCAUUUUUGUUGGCAUCCUUUGGUGUCUGUUUCUGAGCAUUUGCAUGUACUUCGGGCAAGGGCUUGGCACCGACAGGGCCUUGAUUGGAGUUCCAUAUGAGGAGCUCAUUGUGCCUCUCAGCCUGAAGUAAUGUUUUAAUGAGAUCAGAAUAGACUAUGAAUCCCCUCUCACAGUAUUGCUGUUGGAGGAUCAUUUGAGCGGGAAGCAUGGUAGACAAGGUCUUUUCAAUUUUCUCCGCAUCAGAUGGCUCCUUUUCACAAAACCUCAGUUUGGAACUGAGUUUGUGCAUGGCAUGGUUAUAUUCAUUCACAGAUUUGAAAUCUUGAAUGCGGAGGUGGUUCCACUCAUGAGUGGCCUCCGGGAGAAUAACUGCCUUUUGUUGCUCAUACCGCUGUUGCAAAAGCAAGCCAGAGAGCCCGUGGGUCCUCUUCCAUCAGAUAUUCAGCUUUGAGAUCUGAAUGGAUGUGGUUCCUUAUUAUGUAUAAGGCAUGGUACUUAGAUGGUUCAGACAAUGGAGCAUCUCCCUGUUUGGGAGUGUCAAUUGCCCUAUACAUUCCGCAUAACGAUAGACUCACUUUGAGAUCCAUCGCCCAUGUAGGGAAGUUGUGUCCAUCAAGAGCUAGCUCGGCAAAUUCCUUCUUAGAAGAAACUUGGGCAUCGGACUCUUUGGUGGCCAUUGCCUACAUGUUUGUUUGCAUAAAUUUAAUUAAUUUUAGGGUUGUAAAAUUAACAAGAAUGUAAUUGCAUAUUUAUAUAACAAUGUAAAUUGCGUAUAUAAAAACAAUGUAAAAUUGCAUAUGUAAAGCAAUGUAAAAUUGCGUAUGUAAGACAACGUAAAAUUGCGUAUGUAAAGCAAUGUAAAAUUACGUAUGUAAAGCAAUGUAAAAUUGCAUAUGUAAAUAACAAGGUAGACUUGUUUAUGUGUAGCAAGGUAAACUUGCAUAUGUUUUAUGGAAUUUUGAUUUCUCAUUUUGUGGAACAUAGGUAGUCACCAUGGAGGUGUAGACCAUUUUAUAUUUUUCACUUUGGGAUGUAGUCCUUGUAUGUUUAUUAUUAAAUUUGGAAGAGCACUUUGAGGAAUAAAUCCCGCAGUAGUAUGAGUACUACCUUGUGGUCGCCAAAAUAAUAAUAAAGUAAGGUGACAUCUAGUGAAAAAUAGUAUUCCAAAUAGGGAGAAAAAUUGACCAUAAAAAUAUUUACAUAUGUACAUGUGAUAGGGAAUUGUAAAGACAAAACACGUUCGACAUGUAACGAAUUUUUCAUUCAUAAUAUAAUUGCGGAAUGUAAAAAUAUUUACAAUGCAAUGUAUACAUCAGUGUCUAAAUUUACAAGAAAAUUAGACUAAAAAGCUGAUGUAAUUUUAGGGAAUGAAAAAUGCUAUGUAAAUAAAUAAAUAAAAUUAGCUAAUGCUUAAAAAUGAAAAGCCAAUAAUAACUGGCCCAGGCUGAAAGCUCGCAGGCCCUAACCUGGGCCUGGGCCACCAAUUUGGCCCAAUUGGAGGAGGGGGGAGUGGGCCAUAUAUAAGCCAGGGGUUAGGGUUUGCCCCAGCUUCCCAAGCCGCCGCCGCCAGCCACCAGGGGCUCUGCCCCAAGCCGCCGCCGAGAGCAGGGGGGGCGCCCCAGCACGUGGGGCCCGUGGGGCCGCGUCGGUCCGCGCGCCCGUGUGGGGCCGACUGCAGUGGAGUGGCUGGCCGUGGUCGUGGCGCAGGUGUGGGGCCGACUGCGCGAGGCCGAGCGUGGGCGCGCCGUCGUGCCGCGCCCGCGCCCUGGAGCUGCGGUAAGCCAAGGCGGGCGUCGCGCGGAGCCUUCGCUCGGGGCGGUGAAGCCGCGCAGCGGCGCGGGCAGGGGGCCGUGCCACGCGCGCGGGCGAGCGAGGGCCGCGCCGCCAAGCCGCCGUGCCGAGGCCGAGCAGGCAGGCGUCGCGCGGAGCCGCCGCUCGGGACCGGUCGUCGUGCCACGCUACGGGGCCGAGCAGGGUCGCGAGACGGCCGACGCCUCCUUGCCGUGGUGCCGCUCGUAGGAGGACCGCGGCAAGGCCACACGAGGGCGACCAUGCCGAGCAGCGACAGCUCGACCUCCUCCUCCCCCUCCCCCGUGGAAGAGCUCAAGCCAGGUGAGCGCGUCCCCGAGCCGAAGGCCCGUGGGGGACGUUGAUCCACGUGCGGCGGAGACGCGGGGGCGGAGUUGGUGGCGGCGGCGGUGGAGCAGCGAGCGCCGGGUCGACGAAGUACGCCGACAGACGAGUUGGCGCCGACAUCCGCGCCGCUAUGGUCGGUGGAGACGGACGGCGCGGAGGCGGACUGUGCGCAGCACACUCGGAAGACGGUGUCGGCGUCGGGUACCGAAUCGGCGACUGCGGCUCUAUGCCCAGUGACAGCCAUUGGCUGGCCACCAUAGAUGGUGGCGGUGGUGGGCACGGGCCGUCGCCGUGGAGUGGGCACCGAGGCCGGGGUGGAGCCGGCAAGGCGAGGACCGGCGCUGGAGGCGCCGGUGGAGUUGGUGCCCUCGACGGUGGUGCCGCGGGCGGAGCCGCGGAUGGCGCCGCGGGCGAAGCCGUGGACGACACCACCGAACGCCGUGACGGAGGGGCUACGUUUGCACGUCGGUGUCCCCCGAAACGACGUCGUACAGGAAAACGCUCGGGGUUCCUGUCGAGAUCACGGCGUUCGCCCCGAAAGCGAUAGCCGCGAGCCUCUCCAAGGAGUUCCCGGAUGUCCUCCAGUAGUUCCGCCUGAAGGCGGUUGUUGCCGAAGUGUGUGCCCAAUGUCCGGGCAUGGUUCAUCGCCAUCCAGACGACUUGUAGGAUGAGAGAAGCCAUUGAGGCAGGAUUACGGCGAGGGAAAGGCAUGAUUCUACCUUGGGGUGAUGCCCUGGGCGAAGGUCGAUCCCUCGACGAUGUUCUAUCCAACCGAGCUAUUUCCCUCUGGGGUAGGGGAGAGCGAUGUGCUGAUAACGUGUUACAAGUGGAAUGCCAAAGUACGAGAACAGAGAGGAAUAGAAUGAACUCGGGGUGUUUCUUUAUUCAUUGAUCACGGGUAUUUAUACAAGUCGGGGGGAGAGGAAACUCUCGCCCCAAGUAAACUCGAGCCCACGAUGAGUCGUGGGUGAUAUCACGGAGGUGGAACCGGUCUCCACGGGUACGUGCGUAGUCGUGGGUGAUAUCCCGUAGGCGGUCGUGGGGGACGUCGUAGUUAGCAUAGAUCUCCCGUAAGAGGAUCCGAGGAGAUGAGAUCACCCCGGAUAAAAUAUCCUUAACAAUCUCUUCUCGAUUGUCGCUCCCAU
rnacentral:lncRNA from 1 species